rnacentral:misc_RNA from 1 species
GAUGAAGAACGUAGCGAAAUGCGAUAAGUAAUGUGAAUUGCAGAAUUCAGUGAAUCAUCGAAUCUUUGAUCGCACAUUGCGCCCUUUGGCAUUCCGAAGGGCACACCUGUCCGAGCGCCGUCGCACAACUGAGGCGCAGCCUUGCGUUGGCGGGCGACUUGUGAGUAGCGAGUCGCCGCCCAAACGAGACGGCGCCGCGCCGCGGCCGACGAAGCACGAAAGCGGAAGUCGACGCGGAGGCGGUUGCCUGUAGGAAGACACAGCUUGGCCUCGGAUCAGGUGGGGAUACCCGCUGAACUUAAGCAUAUCAAUAAGCGGAGGA